AUAUUAUUUUCCUUAUUAAGCAUAUGGAACUCACUUUUUUCAUUCCUCCCUCCCCAUAUGAGGAAGAAAAUGAGGAACCACAGGUAGAAGUCUAUGAGGAUCCCGUGGAUCCACAAGUCUGAGUGCAUGUCUGUUCCCGCACUCUGAUGAAUUCCAAUAACAUAAUGAAAAAGAAGUGACUAUUAUGCUUUGUAUUUUGUACCUACUUUUGGCCUUAGUGAUGUAUGUAUUUGGAAAAAAUACAUAUGUAUCUGUAAGGGAUUUGUUAAGGCCUUGAUUCCGCUGCAUAAAUAUUAUCAUGCACUUGUUAUUCUGAAUAUGUAUCUUGCACCCAUUGGGCUUAACUAGCACCUGGGAUGUCACAGACAUGCCCUCAACCUUUGUGUCAAUUGUCGCAUUGCU
rnacentral:lncRNA from 1 species